GCCUGGGUGGCUAAGUCAGUUGAGCGCCUGACUUCAGCUCAGGUCAUAAUCUGUUUGUGGGUUUGAGCCCUGUGUCGGGCU
rnacentral:tRNA from 1 species